rnacentral:lncRNA from 1 species
AGUAUGUAGUUUUCCUCCAUGGUUCCUGCCUCUGCUCCAGGACCAGUUCUUGCCUGGACUCGCAAAAUGAAAUAAUUUCUUUUCUCCUCUAAGUUGGUUUGGUCCCAAUUUUAUUACAGCAACAGAGAAGCAAACUAAGACAUGUGGAAAAAGGGAGUCUCAAAUAAGGAACUGCAUGGAUCAGACUGGCCUGUGGGUAUGUAUCUGAUUUGCUGAUUAAUGUGGGAGAGUCCAGUCUGUUGGGAGCAAUAAUACCCUGCAGCAAGAGGGCCUGGGCUGUCUAAAAAAUGGGUUGGUGAGGAGAAGGAAAGAGAUAAGUAGGUAGGUGAGCAAGCCAAAAAGCAGCCCUGGUCUUUUGCUUCUAGCAGUGGUGGAUUGUAACCUGGGAGUUAGAGUAUGAAAUAAAUCUUUCCCCAGGUUGCUUUAGGUCUCAGUGCUUUAUCACAGCAUCAGAGAGCAGCCUAGGCCAUUUGCUGAGAGACCUCUCUGGUCUAUCUGGCUCCAGGAGAUGCAUGAAGCUCUGGAGAUAAUGUGGAUGGCCUUACUCUCAGACAAACUAGAAGCCUCUGGGGUUAAGCCCAGGUGGUAAGUACAUGUCCUUUUCCUGUACAUGGGCCUUCUGAUGGGAAAAGUAGGCUGGGAAAGGAAGGGGCCUUGUUAAUUACACUGGGAUUCUUGCUCAGCUUCUGGUGAGACACUUCAUCCAAUGACUGGCUUCUCUUCCUUUUUGUGUUGCCAAAAUUUUUCCUGCCUUUCUUUUCGUGCC